GACGAACGCUGGCGGCGUGCUUAACACAUGCAAGUCGAACGGAAAGGCCCUGCUUGCAGGGUGCUCGAGUGGCGAACGGGUGAGUAACACGUGGGUGAUCUGCCCCUUACUUUGGGAUAAGCCUGGGAAACUGGGUCUAAUACUGGAUAGGACCAUGCUGUAGGGGGUGUGGUGGAAAGAUUAGUUUCGGUAAGGGAUGAGCUCGCGGCCUAUCAGCUUGUUGGUGGGGUAAUGGCCUACCAAGGCGUCGACGGGUAGCCGGCCUGAGAGGGUGGACGGCCACAUUGGGACUGAGAUACGGCCCAGACUCCUACGGGAGGCAGCAGUGGGGAAUAUUGCACAAUGGGCGCAAGCCUGAUGCAGCGACGCCGCGUGGGGGAUGACGGCCUUCGGGUUGUAAACUCCUUUCAGCCAUGACGAAGCCCUUGUGGUGACGGUAGUGGUAGAAGAAGCACCAGCUAACUACGUG
rnacentral:rRNA from 1 species